rnacentral:rRNA from 1 species
AGUGAACGCUGGCGGUAGGCCUAACACAUGCAAGUCGAACGGCAGCACAGUAAGAGCUUGCUCUUACGGGUGGCGAGUGGCGGACGGGUGAGGAAUACAUCGGAAUCUACUUUUUCGUGGGGGAUAACGUAGGGAAACUUACGCUAAUACCGCAUACGACCUACGGGUGAAAGCAGGGGAUCUUCGGACCUUGCGCGAUUGAAUGAGCCGAUGUCGGAUUAGCUAGUUGGCGGGGUAAAGGCCCACCAAGGCGACGAUCCGUAGCUGGUCUGAGAGGAUGAUCAGCCACACUGGAACUGAGACACGGUCCAGACUCCUACGGGAGGCAGCAGUGGGGAAUGUUGGACAAUGGGCGCAAGCCUGAUCCAGCCAUCCCGCGUGGGUGACGAAGGCCUUCGGGUUGUAAAGCCCUUUUGUUGGGAAAGAGCAGCAGCAGGUUAAUACGACGCUGUUCUGACGGUACCCAAAGAAUAAGCACCGGCUAACUUCGUG